GGGGUCUGACAGUUGAAGCUGGAGAUAAGUGAGGGGCACUUGGAACUGGGCAAGUGGGAAUGGCAGUAAGAGGCAGUUGGAAUUAGGGAUAUCAAGAGAUUCCUUAGUCUAUCAAACUCCUUUAGAACUCCUUCUCUUCCUCUCAAUUAAGGAAAGAAAUGUGGAGGUAUGCCAAGAAGGGAAAGAAUACAGCAAAAAGGAAAGACAUGCAUGGCUAUGGAGCAAGAGGUGGCACAG